rnacentral:rRNA from 1 species
UACGUAGGGUGCAAGCGUUGUCCGGAAUUAUUGGGCGUAAAGAGCUCGUAGGCGGUUUGUCGCGUCUGCUGUGAAAACGCGAGGCUCAACCUCGCGCCUGCAGUGGGUACGGGCAGACUGGAGUGCGGUAGGGGAGAUUGGAAUUCCUGGUGUAGCGGUGGAAUGCGCAGAUAUCAGGAGGAACACCGAUGGCGAAGGCAGAUCUCUGGGCCGUAACUGACGCUGAGGAGCGAAAGCGUGGGGGAGCGAACAGG